rnacentral:lncRNA from 1 species
CAGGAGUUGAAGCUUGAUUUCUACAUGGAUACAGACUCAGGUUUGGUGCAUGUCUAAAGGGUCUUGUUAUCACAGUAUCAGACCACUUCCUAUGCUAGAAUAUUGUGAUCCUUAUGACAUCCCUGCAGCAGGACGUGGAGACCUCAGGCACCAGGAGCAGAAGCCCACAUCCAUUUGUAUUGCUCCGUAAACAUUAAUGGCAUUUCCCAAAGAUGAAUUAUCUCCAUGCCUGUACCAGAAGCAUCCUAUCUUCUCCUUUUUAAAGCAGCUGUUUGACCAGAGCUCCUGCCCUUUCCAGACCACUGUGGAAGACCAAAUCCUCCAACUGCCUCCGCUGACAUACGGACUGAGACCUAAAAUCUGUGUUACCGUGGUUGGAGGCCCAAGGUUGGCUACGUUUUGGUACCAAGUCCUUCUAUCAUCGAUGUCCACAUAUUAAAGGUAACGUCUUUGAGUGCAUGCUAAUAAGAAAGUUUGAUUGUUUGCUACAACUGAUGAUAGCUCUGCGCCUUCGUUUUUUGGCACUGCAGCCCUCAAAGACAGUUUUUUAAUGUCUGCCACACAUCCAUGUCUCAGCUUUGCUGGCGUGAAACCAGGAAAGAUGGCACAUUUCGUUUCCUGUUAUCUCCAAUGAGGGCAGGGAGCUCACACCGCUGCUCACUUCAGCUUUGCUGAGAUGUGGAUGAUUUGGCUUUUUGGGGAGUCCAUGCUUACGGUGCGCCAUCAGUGCAG